UGUUAAAACCAUGGGGAUAGAUACCCGUCUAUUCAUGAUGUAAAUAAAAGUUGAAUAUUACGAACAACAGUUUAAAAUUCAAAGAUUUUGGCGGUGUCUUAUAGAACCAGGGGAACCUGUCUCAUAACUCGAUAAUCCACGUAUGCCUAACCUUCUCUUGACACCCAGCAUGUGUACUGCCGUUGUAAGCAUACCUUUAAAAGAAUAGUAUGCUACUAUGAUUGAAUAAUUAACUCAUAUACAUCAGGUCAAAGUGCAGCUAAUAAGAAGGUGACGAUGGGUUACAACCCUAAAAAAGAUCAUCAACUAAGAAAUCAAAAAUCUUACGAAAGUGGACUUGGCCGUAAUCAAUUUAAAUUAAAGAAGUGAAUUAUAUCUAAGACAUGCACACAUCGCCCGCACUCACCCCAAUG
rnacentral:rRNA from 1 species